rnacentral:rRNA from 1 species
UACGUAGGGCGCAAGCGUUGUCCGGAUUUAUUGGGCGUAAAGAGCUCGUAGGUGGUCUGUCGCGUCCGCUGUGAAAACCCGAGGCUCAACCUCGGGCCUGCAGUGGGUACGGGCAGACUAGAGUGCGGUAGGGGAGACUGGAAUUCCUGGUGUAGCGGUGGAAUGCGCAGAUAUCAGGAGGAACACCGAUGGCGAAGGCAGGUCUCUGGGCCGCAACUGACACUGAGGAGCGAAAGCAUGGGGAGCGAACAGG